UUCAUAAUAAGUUAUGCAAUUUACAGCAAAAGAAAUUAGUGCUUAAAUGUUACCACAAAUAACAGAAAAAAAUUCCAAUCAACUAUCGAUAAAAUUGUGAUUGCUUGAUCCGUUAUGAAUGUCAGCAGCCUGUCUGAUUUGGUCACACUAUUCGCGCAAUUCCAAGAAAAACAAAUUAACCAAUAGGCUUUUAGUGAUUGUGAGGAUCCAUUUGUUGCUGAGAGUGAGAAAAGAUUGGCCAAUUCACAGCGAAGCAAGGGACGUAUGACCAGAAAAAUACAAUUAAAAAGCAGGUCCUGUGAAUUCCACUGGGGAGACAGAAGAUUUGAAUGCAGAACAACAAGAAUAUAAAGUUAUGUUACGAUAACAUUCUCCAAUGGAUAACCAACAAACGAAGUACAAACCAACAAAUGUUGAUUUGAAAACACAUCGUUGUCUAUAAUUCAACUUUAUAUAACUAUUCAUGGCGGUUAAAUCGUAUAAGUAUGGGCUUGAUUUCAAAUCAACUUGAAAGUAGUAUACAAAAUGAAAAGAUAUUAAUUCUUGCGAAGUAUCUGCUAGUCGUGUCAUUCGCCAUGAACUCUUAGCCUCUUCAUCUUUUUUUCUUUUUUUGGCUGUUGCAACGUCAACAAGCGAACAAGCUAAAGCGAAUCCCAAAGCUGCUAGUGAGGAUGGAUGUGGAUGGUGGCCAGCACAAGUGCAUCAUCCGGAAAGCAAAGCAAAUGCCCCAUAAAACAAAUGUGCAAAUAAAAAUGUUUAUAAACAGCGUCGACGGCAGAGAGCACUUCACAAUUUUCGGGAUGUGCGCGACAGCGAUUCACUUCGAGGAUUUGGAGGCGAAGAUGGUGGGUUAGAGUUUUGGUUGGAUUGCGUUGGAGGACUCUCGCGGGAGAAGUCAGCUUUUGCAAAGGAAGGGGGAGCAACAGGAUAAGCUGGUAAUUCAAGCCAGAAGGUCACAAAUUAAGUCAACAAAAUCGGAGAAACCGCAAAGAUUUGUGAAAGAGGAAGGAAAAGACCUUCAAACUUUAUAAUUGAAAGUUGCGCGCCAUA